rnacentral:rRNA from 1 species
UAUGGAGGGUGAGGCCUGCCCAAUGGUUGUAUCUAAAAGGGUCGGUAAGAGCUGACCUCAUAAAGACAAUUGAAUGGCCGCGGUAACACUGACCGUGAUAAUGUAGCGUAAUCAAUAGCCAAUUAAUUGUUGGCCGGUAUGAAUGGCGUCACGAAGGCCCCACUGUCUUAAGAAAAUUCCCAGUGAAAUUGAAAUCGUAGUGAAGAUGCUACGUCCAAAUUGUUAGACGAAGAGACCCCAUUGAGCUUUACUGGAAACUUAUAUGGCUGAAAUAUAUUUUUGCUCAUAAAGACUAAUCUCA